rnacentral:rRNA from 1 species
GACGAACGCUGGCGGCGUGCUUAACACAUGCAAGUCGAACGGAAAGGCCCUGAUUUUGUGGGGUGCUCGAGUGGCGAACGGGUGAGUAACACGUGAGUAACCUGCCCUUGACUUUGGGAUAACUCUAGGAAACCGGGGCUCAUACACGAUAGGAGCUCUUGAUGCAUGGUGGGGGUUGGAAAGUUUCGGCGGUUCGGGCUGGACUCGCGGUUUAUCCGCUUGUUGGUGGGGUAGUGGCUUACCAAGGCUUUGACGGGUAGUCGGCCUGCGAGGGUGACCGGCCACAUUGGGACUGAGAUACGGCCCAGACGGCUACGGUAGGCAGCAGGGGGGAAUAUUGCACAAUGGGCGGAAGCCUGAUGCAGCAACGCCGCGUGCGGGAUGACGGCCUUCUGGUGGUAAACCGCUUUCGCCUUUGACAAAGCGGGAGUGACGGUAAUGGAUAAAGAAGCACCGGCUAACUACGUG